UGCAACAUUGUACCAAUAUUAUAUUUUACAAUGAUAAUCAAUAUUUUGUCAAUGAGAGCUUAUAUAGACAGGUUUGUAAUGUAAGGCCACCCUGGCCACCAUGAUUUGUUUGUUUAUUUUUGAUUGCAGACAAAGCUCAUCUUCUAAACUAUUCAGUUUUGAACAUGAUUCCGUGACGGGUGAAGACAUUUUUUUAAAAGAAAUCAUGAGCAGACACGGAUGUUAACAAUUCAUAUCAAAACGUAUCAGUUUUCCUGCUCAUUAGGUGCAAAUACUCAACAUGAUGGUAAUGACAACGAAUAUGGAAAGAUCGGAUUGAAUGUGAAAGACGCAGAAAACAUAGUCAAUUGAAGCAGUAAAUGUAUUGAAGAUAUUUAUAGAAGAAAACAAUGACAUUCCAGUAACAUAUGAGAAACUAUGGAGGGCGAUCGUUGCCAAAAUUCCAGACAUGUAAUGUGUUCCUUUUGAAAACUACUUUUGAAAAUGCGAACGGGUAUGUCUAGCAUUUUUUAUUAUAUUCGUGCAAAGCAAAUGAUAUGCCUCUUAAUCCCGUCUUUAAAUUGAAGGCACCCGCUUUAAAAUAACAAGUUUACAUGUAAAUCUUAACAACUGACCUAACAUGG